CGCAGAGGAUGCUGGGAAGAGGCACAGAGGAAGCAGAGCGGGAUGGACAGCACAUAGAUGUGGAGACCAGAGGGCAAGCUCAGUGACCGUUUCUCGGCUUCCAUCCACCCAUUCUUGAGUCUCUUACUGGGCUAAACUUCAUCAACUGUUGGCAGCUUUGUUCUGUAGACUUCUUCCUCCUGGACAUCAUAGACAGAGUCUCCAUCGCUUGAACACCGCUGCUCUUGGGGCAACAGGAAGAAUAGGACAUCUACCAUUUCUGCCCACAUUUCGCUGACUGAGAUGCAUCAUCUGCCUACAGGUGGGCAAAGAGCCCAGGGUGGGUGUGAGCUGUGCUGUGGUAAGCAUGUCGCUAUGGUUGAGUAUGAAAUGCCUUCCAAAGGCAUCUGGAUUCCAGAAGACAGUAGAGGCUCAGGAGGAGAAAAAGAAGACAGUUCCGUGAUCAGUAUUAGUCACCAGAGCAAUCUAUUCACACAGUUAUGGUCACAGGAUGCAUCUAUACAGGAC